rnacentral:rRNA from 1 species
AUGAACGCUAGCUACAGGCUUAACACAUGCAAGUCGAGGGGCAUCAGGAAGAAAGCUUGCUUUCUUUGCUGGCGACCGGCGCACGGGUGAGUAACACGUAUCCAACCUGCCCUUUACUCGGGGAUAGCCUUUCGAAAGAAAGAUUAAUACCCGAUAGUAUAAUGAUUCCGCAUGGUUUCCUUAUUAAAGGAUUCCGGUAAAGGAUGGGGAUGCGUUCCAUUAGGUUGUUGGUGAGGUAACGGCUCACCAAGCCUUCGAUGGAUAGGGGUUCUGAGAGGAAGGUCCCCCACAUUGGAACUGAGACACGGUCCAAACUCCUACGGGAGGCAGCAGUGAGGAAUAUUGGUCAAUGGGCGCUAGCCUGAACCAGCCAAGUAGCGUGAAGGAUGAAGGCUCUAUGGGUCGUAAACUUCUUUUAUAUAAGAAUAAAGUGCAGUAUGUAUACUGUUUUGUAUGUAUUAUAUGAAUAAGGAUCGGCUAACUCCGUGCCAGCAGCCGCGGUAAUACGGAGGAUCCGAGCGUUAUCCGGAUUUAUUGGGUUUAAAGGGAGCGUAGGUGGACUGGUAAGUCAGUUGUGAAAGUUUGCGGCUCAACCGUAAAAUUGCAGUUGAUACUGUCAGUCUUGAGUACAGUAGAGGUGGGCGGAAUUCGUGGUGUAGCGGUGAAAUGCUUAGAUAUCACGAAGAACUCCGAUUGCGAAGGCAGCUCACUGGACUGCAACUGACACUGAUGCUCGAAAGUGUGGGUAUCAAACAGGAUUAGAUACCCUGGUAGUCCACACAGUAAACGAUGAAUACUCGCUGUUUGCGAUAUACAGUAAGCGGCCAAGCGAAAGCAUUAAGUAUUCCACCUGGGGAGUACGCCGGCAACGGUGAAACUCAAAGGAAUUGACGGGGACCCGCACAAGCGGUGGAGCAUGUGGUUUAAUUCGAAGCAACGCGAAGAACCUUACCAAGUCUUGACAUCCUUCUGACAGAGUAUGUAAUGUACUUUCCCUUCGGGGCAGAAGUGACAGGUGGUGCAUGGUUGUCGUCAGCUCGUGCCGUGAGGUGUCGGCUUAAGUGCCAUAACGAGCGCAACCCUUAUCUUUAGUUACUAACAGGUUAUGCUGAGGACUCUAGAGAGACUGCCGUCGUAAGAUGUGAGGAAGGUGGGGAUGACGUCAAAUCAGCACGGCCCUUACGUCCGGGGCUACACACGUGUUACAAUGGGGGGUACAGAAGGCAGCUAGCGGGUGACCGUAUGCUAAUCCCAAAAUCCUCUCUCAGUUCGGAUCGAAGUCUGCAACCCGACUUCGUGAAGCUGGAUUCGCUAGUAAUCGCGCAUCAGCCACGGCGCGGUGAAUACGUUCCCGGGCCUUGUACACACCGCCCGUCAAGCCAUGGGAGCCGGGGGUACCUGAAGUACGUAACCGCAAGGAUCGUCCUAGGGUAAAACUGGUGACUGGGGCU